AGAGAGGGAGAGAGAGAGAGAAGACAAUGAAGAAAUGGGUUUAGUGGAGGAUGGAGCAGUGAAGGAGGCAAAGAAGAAAAACAAGAAACAGAAGAAGAGGAAAAUGCAAAGAGUGUGGAGGAGAAGGUAGGUGUUGGGGCAGAAGACAUAUAAGAGGCAACAAAGGGGAUCAGUGAAAGUUUGUAUGUAGGCGACACAUCAAGAUAAGUUGUGUGGUUCCUCCAAAAGGACCAAAAAUACGUGCAACUUCUACACCCAAAGCCACAGGCAAUGAAGCAGAUAAUAUUGUGGUUGCAAGCAGUGCUGCACCACAGCCAGAAACAAUGAAGCUGAUGAUGAUGGGCUGAGUGCAAGAAGCAGUAAGAUGACGAGGAGGACCUGCUAUGAGUGUCAUAGAAAGAUCAUAUUUCUUCAGCUUACUCAAAGAAGCAAGCUGCUGUCACAAACCCCAUUGCAAGUUAAACAUUUGGGAAAUAUUCAACUCAGUAACCUUCAGAUUUGAUAGCGAUGGCUAAUUCCCUACUGAUAUUCAUUUGGUUUUUCCAUUCAUAUGCAGUUGCUGUUACAAUUUUGUAUUCUUAGUUUGUAUCUGUUAAAUCAGUUGAGUUCACAUAUUUGUCUAAAUUGAAUCUUUUUUUAAUUUUUUUAAAAAUUUUUUUUAAAGGAUCUUCUUUUGUAAAUUUCCUUUCAAGUAACCACAGUUGGUUGUUUAUUUCCUGAACUUAGCCUCUGAGAAAACUGCAGCAGGAAGAUAUCAGAUGAAGAUGCAAUCUCCUCUCUUUUUUAAUUCCUUGAUCAAAUUUUGAAAUGGUUUGAACUUACUGUUAGCGAAAUUUUGCUACAGCCUACAGAAAGCAUCAGUAACUGUGAUUUGGUCAAGACAUAGCAGAUUUUCGUUGUAAUUCUGUUUGAGGCAUUAGGGAAGUUGUGCAAGAUUUCUCAUGUCAACUCCAAGAAUAGGUGUCUCUCCUUCCAUCCUUCAAGGUUAUGGCUAAUUCAGCUCAAGCAGAAAUGUAGAUUUGUGGAAUCCUCUUCUGAGAAAACUAGACUGCAACAAAACAAGGUGAAGCGUAGAUACAAAAAAACAGGAUGUCAAACAGAGAAUCUUAUCAACCAUUACAUGGAUCAAGAGGAAACAUGAAUACUAAAUUAUAUGAUACAUUAUCGGGAUACCUACCUUUUUAUUUCUUAUAGGCUAUAGCUCCAGCUUGGAGUUUCCUGGUUUGCAAAUAGGAAUCUUGAAAACUAGGAAACUGCCAAAUUGGUUUCCCUGAUUUUGGUUUCAUGGUUUCACGGGGUUGGCCUUUACUUGUACAUAAAAUGGAAAAUUUUGUCUUAAUUUUACCUUGGUCCGUGAACCGAUGGAGACAUUGUGCUUGGACAACAUGUUAAGAUUUGACCAUAAACUUAAGAUCAAUUAUCUCAGGAAUUUACGCUAUAACUGCCCAUUUGUCAUUCAAAUUACCUCAUUAGAUCAAGAUGUUUUCCUCAUUUUAUAAUAGUUAGCAACUUAAAUUUCCAAAAGACAAGGAUAAAGAAAAAUGGGGAUUUCAAUAAUGGGAAUAGAACUGGAUGCCAUUCAAAUUUCCUUGUGUUAUUUAUGUGUCUUGAAUUUUGAAAAUAUUUUUGAUGGACCCAAAAAGUUUCAUGUUGCUGACUUAAACAGAAUAUUUUUUUUGUCUUUUGCUAUAGUUUUGUAAGAAAUUCAGGAAAUACAAUGAGAUUAGAAUUUGAGAAUUCAAUGAGAUUGUUUUUUUUUAUUUUAUUUCAUCAUAGUGGAAUUUUUAUCUUUUAUCCCGUGUCUUGCUGGUAUACAUAAAUCUUAAUGUUGAAUCAAAUCUUGUGUUCAUUCUUCUUUUCUUCUUUAUAUUGAUUGUGCAAUGUGUGUGCCUAUUAUAUUUUUCCACUCUUAUUAUAUAUAUACAUAUAAAACACAAUAGUAGGCUAAAUGCAAAUCAUAGUCAAAAUUUCAACACUGAACAACAUAGUGAGGAAUCAAAGAUUAUAUGGAAGCUUUAUCUAAUGACCAAACCUAUGGAGGAUGAUGAUUGAUGCAACUUCAAUAGUUUCCCUUUUUUGUUUGUCAGUGUUUGUCUCUACCCAAAAUCUAUGCCCUAUUCAAUUGCAGCAGUUCCCAUUAUUUUCCUCCAAGCUGUUCCCUCUAUUGCAGCAAGAUUUCUAUUAUUGUCUCUUCCUGCUCAAAUUUCUAUGCCUCUAGUACUCUAAACUACUGAAAAUAUCAAUAUUUAAGGCUUUCUUGCCUCGUUGAGCAUUAUCUCUGUCUUCUACUCUGUUGCCAGUGCACCUCUAAGUAUCUUCAAGCUUUAUUGUUUUGCUUUCUUUAUUGUUAUGGCCGGCAAUUCCGAAGUUGGAACAGAAAUAAUGACACCACAGAAGUAUCAGGAUCCAGAAACCAGGCCUGGAACCAACAAGAAACAGAUCCAAGCACAACCAAAAUCUGAGAAAAAGGUAGCUGUUGUUUACUACCUAUCUCAAAAUGGCCAGAUUGAGCAUCCUCAUUAUGUGGAAGUAUCUCUAUCUUCUCCUGAAGGACUCUAUCUAAGAGAUGUGGUGAAGACACUAAACCUUCUUAGAGGUCAAGGCAUGGCUAGCAUGUUCUCCUGGGCUACAAAAAGGAGCUACAAGAAUAUAUUUUUAUGGCAGGACUUGUCAGAUGAGGACUUAAUACACCCAUGUCAAGGCCAGGAUUACAUUCUCAAAGGAUCACUACUCCUAGAAACUUCUCUAAGUUUUCGAUCCAAUGACUCCAUAUCAUCAUCAACCUCAAGACGUUCCUCAGAGAGGUUAACCACUAGCAGUGAGGACUCAAACUCUCCUGUCACUAGAAGGAAAAAUCAUUCAUGGAGUUCAAUUGAUGGCAUUGAUGAGCACAGAAUUUACAAGGUCAAAUCCUCAGGAGAACUUACAAGAAAAGGUUCUAACAUGUCAACACAGACAGAUGACAAUCGAAGAAUGAAAAUGGAAAUUGAAGAAGUUGAACCUGAAGGACUAGAUAUAAAAUCUAGUUCAAAAGCUUCUGGGAGCUUGGAAAGCUCUAUAGAGUUUUAUAGGCCAGCAAAUAUUAGAUGUCAGAAGGUUGGGAGAGAUCAUCAUUAUAACCAAAGAACGAAUGAAUCGAAGCUUUUGAUGAAGUUGGUUGGAUGUGGAUGUGGAUCAAAAAGGUUCAAAGAUUUUCAGCAGAUGGAAAACAAGUACCGAUGAAAAAGGUUCAAUGAUUUUGAGGAUGCAAGUGAAGUUUCUCAAAAUUUAUUCUUAUAUUUUCAUUUCUAACAUGAAUAACAAUUCAAAAGAAGAAUGUGAUGUGUAAUUCUUUAUAUGCGUGUAAUUAUGUGCUGCAGUGGGUUUAAUUAUGAGUUUCUAUGUAAGAUUUGAAUGUGAAUAAAGGGAAUCAACUUUGUAUGUUUUAUAGCAAUAGAGGCCAAUUAUGA
rnacentral:misc_RNA from 1 species